rnacentral:lncRNA from 1 species
ACGAUUCAUAGCUCCACUGCAGAUACCUCAUUAUAGUCGUACCUUGUUUUUCAGUUGUUUUUUAGUUUAAGAUUUUUUCUUUGCAAGACAGUGCACAUCUUGCACAUCCCCGCACAUCCCAUCAACAGGACUUCUUAAAAAGAAAAUGGCGGAAGCACAAAAUUUUGAAAUGUAACAAUUAGUAGUCGACGAACAGCAAACAAUAGCACGAUCAUGGACACGCACCAUCUUUAAGGGAACUUGGGGUGGCAAUCUGGUUCCUGUGAGAUUUAUUUCGAUCACCGACUGCCGUCAAAAUGUCUUGACUCAUUAUGAAAAGUAUGAAUCCCCUGACAUUUGUUCAUGAAAAUGUUUUUAGGGUUUAUGGGCAUGUCAUUUGUCCCCAGCAAAUUCACAGGUACUUUUUAAUUGAGCAUUUUGAUCGAACGCUGAGACAGCAUUAUUGCGAGCAGGCUUCAACUGCUUCAUUCACGGUGCAAUCAAUCCGGACAACUCUUGGAUCUGUGUACCUAACGAAGCACAGAUCAUUCUAAAGAUCUCCGAAUUUGGGCUGCACAGGAAUCAAACUGCUGCCGAAAAUCGAAUUCGCUGUUUGAGCUCCAAUCAAAGUGAGAAGGAAAUAGUACCUGUAAAUUGCUGUGGAUAAAUGACAUGCACUAGAUUCAGUCAGUAAUCGAAAUCAUUCUCACAAGAACCGGAUUCCCACCCCAAGUUCCCUUACAGAUGGCCCCUGUCCAUGAUCGUGCUAUUAUUUGCUGUUCGUAAACUACUAAUUGUAACUUUUCAAAAUAUUGUGCUUCCGCCAUUUUCUACACAUGAAGAAGGAAAAAAGUUGAAUUUUAAUUUUAAAAAGAUUUCGUGAAAAAUCAACAAAAAACGUGUGGCCGUGAGAUGAAAUUUAUUAUAAUAAAUGUUCAAAAAAUUGUCAGGACAAUUUAUUCACCAUA